AAAAAACUUGGUCCCAAUUUUUUUUACUUUUUUUCCUAUAAUGAUACAUGCAAAGGACAAUCCCUUAACCAGUGAGGUUAUUUUAACAAAAAAUUAAUUUAUUUAAAUAAAAAUGAUAUUAAGUGAAAGAUUUUUUCUAAAAUCAUAGACACCCACAACAGCAGUACUAAAAAUUAAGCAAUUAGUGAAAACUAGACUUAAUAAUAAGAAAAAGUAUUGGUAAAAAUACGUGCCAGCCACCGCGGUUAUACGUAAAAUACAAAAAGUAAAAGAAACAUCUUUAGUGACUAAACUAAUUUUUUUAUUAUAGUUAAUAAAACCAUAAAAUCAACAGUCAAAUGUAAAAACUUUAAGAAAGCCUAUAACGCAAAAGCAAUUAACUAAUAAAUUAAUCACGCAAGUAUAAAAACAAACCAGGAUUAGAGACCCUGCUAUGUUAUACUACAAACAAAAAGAAAGAACUACAAGCACAAAGCUUAAAACUUAAAGGACUUGGCGGUUUUUUAGAUCUUCCUAGAGGAGCCUGCCUCAUAAUUGACAACCCGCAAAAGACCUAACCUACAUUAGAAAAUAUAUAACAGCCUGUAUAUCAUCAUCGUCAGCUCACCUCCUCUUAAGAGAAAGUAAGCAUAAAGAUAAUUCUUCAAAACGUUAGAUCAAGAUGCAGCCAAUAAGUAGGAGAAUGGUGGGCUACAAUAUUCUACUGAAUAACGGAAUUUUUAUUUAAAUAUAAAAAAGAAGUAGGAUUUAGCAGUAAGAGGGAUAAAGAAAAGCCCACUGAAAAAGCCCUAAAAUACGUACACACCGCCCGUCACUCUCUUUAACUUAAAAAGAGAAAAGUCGUAACAAGGUAAGAGUAGGGGAACCUGCUCUUGGCAG
rnacentral:ncRNA from 1 species